CCUACGGGGGGCAGCAGUGGGGAAUAUUGGGCAAUGGGCGCAAGCCUGACCCAGCAACGCCGCGUGAAGGAAGAAGGCCCUCGGGUUGUAAACUUCUUUUAUUCGGGACGAAACAAAUGACGGUACCGAAUUAAUAAGCCACGGCUAUCUACGUGCCAGCAGCCGCGGAAAUACGUAGGUGGCAAGCGUUCUCCGGAUUUACUGGGUGUAAAGGGCGUGUAGGCGGGAGAGAAAGUCAGACGUGAAAUUCCAGGGCUCAACCCUGGAACUGCGUUUGAAAUUGUACUUCUGGGGUGAUGGGGGGGCAGGCGGAAUUCCGUGUGUGGCGGUGAAAUGCGUAGAUAUACGGAGGAACACCAGUGGCGAAGGCGGCCUGCUGGACAUUAACUGACGCUGAGGCGCGAAAGCGUGGGGAGCAAACAGGAUUAGAUACCCUGUAGUC
rnacentral:rRNA from 1 species